rnacentral:tRNA from 1 species
UAGCUCAGUCAGUCGAGCAUGGCGCUGACAACGCCAAGGUCAUGGGUUCGAUUCCCGU